rnacentral:rRNA from 1 species
AGCGAACGCUGGCGGCAGGCCUAACACAUGCAAGUCGAACGAGGUCUUCGGACCUAGUGGCGGACGGGUGAGUAACACGUGGGAACGUGCCCUUUGGUACGGAAUAACUCAGGGAAACUUGAGCUAAUACCGUAUGUGCCCUUCGGGGGAAAGAUUUAUCGCCAUUGGAGCGGCCCGCGUCUGAUUAGCUAGUUGGUGAGGUAAUGGCUCACCAAGGCGACGAUCAGUAGCUGGUCUGAGAGGAUGACCAGCCACAUUGGGACUGAGACACGGCCCAAACUCCUACGGGAGGCAGCAGUGGGGAAUCUUGCGCAAUGGGCGAAAGCCUGACGCAGCCAUGCCCCGUGGAUGAUGAAGGUCUUAGGAUUGUAAAAUCCUUUCACCGGUGAAGAUAAUGACUGUAGCCGGAGAAGAAGCCCCGGCUAACUUCGUGUCAGCCGCCGCGGUAAAAC